rnacentral:rRNA from 1 species
CAUGGGGGGAACCUGCAUCCAGCUAUACCGCGNUCAUGACGAAGCCCUGGGUUGUAAACUGCUUUCGUACGGAACGAAAAGCUGGACAUACCCCAAGUCUAGUACCGUAGAUACACCGAUAUCUCACAGCCGGUAAUACGUAGGGUGCAGCGUUAAUCGGAAUUACUGGGCGUAAAGCGUGCGCAGGCGGUUUUGUAAGACAGAGGUGAAAUCCCCGGGCUUAACCUGGGAACUGCCUUUGUGACUGCAAGGCUUGAGUGCGGCAGAGGGGGAUGGAAUUCCGCGUGUAGCAGUGAAAUGCGUAGAUAUGCGGAGGAACACCGAUGGCGAAGGCAAUCCCCUGGGCCUGCACUGACGCUCAUGCACGAAAGCGUGGGGAGCAAACAGGAUUAGAUACCCUGGUAGUCCACGCCCUAAACGAUGUCAACUGGUUGUUGGGUCUUCACUGACUCAGUAACGAAGCUAACGCGUGAAGUUGACCGCCUGGG